rnacentral:rRNA from 1 species
AGAACGAACGCUGGCGGCAUGCCUAACACAUGCAAGUCGAACGCUCACCGGGCUUCGGUUCGGUGGGAGUGGCGCACGGGUGAGUAGCGCGUGGGAACCUGCCCUGUUGUGGGGGAUAACCGAGGGAAACUUCGGCUAAUACCGCAUAAGCCGGUUGUCUUGAAAGAGAUGGCCGGGAAAGAUUUAUCGCGACAGGAGGGGCCCGCGUCGGAUUAGCUAGUUGGUGGGGUAACGGCCCACCAAGGCUGUGAUCCGUAGCUGGUCUGAGAGGAUGAUCAGCCACACUGGGACUGAGACACGGCCCAGACUCCUACGGGAGGCAGCAGUGGGGGAAUAUUGGACAAUGGGCGCAAGCCUGAUCCAGCAAUGCCGCGUGAGUGAUGAAGGCCUUAGGGUUGUAAAGCUCUUUCGCCCGCGACGAUGAUGACGGUAGCGGGAGAGAACGCCCGGCUAACUCGUGCCAGCAGCCGCGU